rnacentral:rRNA from 1 species
AUGGGCAACUGUUUCCACACAGCGCAAGGUCGUCGCGGUGUCGACACCAAGAAGAGCGCGGUGCCGGAGGAGGAGGAGGAAGUUACUCCGCCGGUGAAGGAGGUGAAGAUCAGGAUCACGAGGAAGCAGCUGGAGGACCUGCUGCGGCGCCUCGACCAGGAGGACGGCUGCAGCGGCGCCGUCAUCUCGGAGCUCCUCUGCAUGACGAGCAGCUCCAAUUUCCGGCACAGGGGGCAGACCGCACAGUGGACGCCGGCGCUGCAGAGCAUACCGGAGUGA